rnacentral:rRNA from 1 species
UACGAAGGGGGCCAGCGUUGCUCGGAAUUACUGGGCGUAAAGCGCACGUAGGCGGCUUCUUAAGUCGGUGGUGAAAUCCUGGAGCUCAACUCCAGAACUGCCUUCGAUACUGGGAGCUCGAGUCCGGGAGAGGUGAGUGGAACUGCGAGUGUAGAGGUGAAAUUCGUAGAUAUUCGCAAGAACACCAGUGGCGAAGGCGGCUCACUGGCCCGGUACUGACGCUGAGGUGCGAAAGCGUGGGGAGCAAACAGG